UUUGCAUCUGCAGGCAGAAGUGCUUUAAAACAAUUGGUAAAACCCAUUUCAGUGACUGUACAAUGAGCUUCAAAUGGUGUCUUGGAUCAAUAAUUGGACGAUGCAGUACGCUGGUUUUGAAUGGGGUGAGUAUCCGAAAUCUGUUUCUGAAUGCUUGAUUUCAUUGCUGCUCAUUGUUUGCUAUCCUGACAAUAGCUUUGAAGUUCCAUUGAUCUUGAGUCUACACUGCAACAUGUGGAGCUUCUCCUCCUUCAUUCAUUUAUGAUUUAGUUUUCUUCUUACACCUAUUUUCCUGUAAGUAAGUUUACAUCUAGAGGCCAGAGCAAACACUCAACUCUAUCGAAAAAACAAAAACAAAAAACUUCACUCUAGAAUCUCCAUCAAGUUGGUGUCGGGGGUGAGAUUUGGUAGGAUAUUCUGUUUCCCUUCAGCAUAAUGGGAGAUGGAUGAAGUAGUCGAGUUUGGUCGCCAUUUUUGCACUGUUACCUUCAAUUUUUUGUGCUAAUGAACGAGCAUGUUCGUGUUAACGACUUGUAGUGUUAUUGAACUUUUGCAUUUGGAUUAUAAUUUGG
rnacentral:misc_RNA from 1 species